ACUAUCCUACGGGAGGCAGCAGUGGGGAAUAUUGCACAAUGGGGGAAACCCUGAUGCAGCGACGCCGCGUGAGCGAUGAAGUAUUUCGGUAUGUAAAGCUCUAUCAGCAGGGAAGAAAAUGACGGUACCUGACUAAGAAGCCCCGGCUAACUACGUGCCAGCAGCCGCGGUAAUACGUAGGGGGCAAGCGUUAUCCGGAUUUACUGGGUGUAAAGGGAGCGUAGACGGCAGUGCAAGUCUGAAGGG
rnacentral:rRNA from 1 species